AUCUCUCUCUGAACACCGCCCAAGUGAUCUCAGCAUUCCCAGCAGCUUCCAACACAGUGCGGGUAGCAACCCACCAAUCAUCUGCUUCCUCUGACAGCAUAUGCGUACCAAACCUGACCUUCUGGUUAUCGGCACACUCAGUCACUCGGAAGAUUCUCUCGAUCUCCUUCAACCACUUCUGAGCACCAUCUGGAUCGUAUGCUCCCUUGAACAUUGGAGGAUUGUUCUUCUGGAACUCACUCAGUUGACGAGCAGCUCCCAUUCCCACAACAUUCGGAUUCCCUCCAAGUACUCCAGCUAGCAUACCCAGAGCCUCA
rnacentral:lncRNA from 1 species